GCCGAGUUAGCUCAGUGGUAGAGCAAUAGCCUGAAGAGCUAUGUGUCGGAGGUUCGAUUCCUCCCCUCGGCA
rnacentral:tRNA from 1 species